rnacentral:rRNA from 1 species
CCGAAAGUCGAACGGGGAGAUUCAUCGUCAGCGGCGCAGGCUUCGCCGCGGCUCGUGAUGUCGGGACCUCGCGUCCACGGCACUCGGUCGCGGUGCAAUGUCCGGCGACGCCGGCGUGCACUUCUCCCCUAGUAGGACGUCGCGACCCGUUGGGUGUCGGUCUAAGGCCCGGUCGGCUGCCUGUCUCGGCGUUCGCGUCGGGGCAGACCCCCGGUUGCCCGUCCGGCUGCCCGGCGGUACCCGCACGGUAUAGAGCCGCAUUGAACUGCGUCGGGCCCGCCGCAAGCGCGGUCAGCGAUUCCCGGUGGUCGGACCUAGCGCCGUCCCCGGGCCUGGCCAGCUGUUGGCUGGCGGUGUCCUCUGGCUGGCUCGUUCGAAUUAUCAAAUACCGGUCGGCGACGCUAUUGCUUUGGGUACUUUCAGGACCCGUCUUGAAACACGGACCAAGGAGUCUAACAUGUGCGCGAGUCAUUGGGACGAGCAAACCUAAAGGCGAAAUGAAAGUAAAGGUCAGCCCAGCGCUGACCGAGGGAGGAUGGGCCGCGUCACGAUGCGGCCCCGCACUCCCGGGGCGUCUCGUUCUCACUGCGAGAAGAGGCGCACCCAGAGCGUACACGUUGGGACCCGAAAGAUGGUGAACUAUGCCUGGUCAGGACGAAGUCAGGGGAAACCCUGAUGGAGGUCCGUAGCGAUUCUGACGUGCAAAUCGAUCGUCGGAACUGGGUAUA